UUUGCUAGCAGAAUGUUGAAUGGUUGGCACCAUUUGCAGACUAUCAAAACUCUUGAUUUCCUCCAUUGCAUAUAAUGCCUUCAAACUCGACGAUAAUGGGACUCUACGAGCAGGCAGCAACCCAAGAUGACCUGCAUGUAGGAACAUAUUUAGAAAAGAUUCUAAAACCUUCAAAGGAUAUUUAGUCACCCGAUCAAGCCACACAAGCCUCCCAUGUGUGUUGCUUUCUUCUAUACUGCUGCAGAUCAAUUGAAAUCAGCAACAACAUAAUCCAAUUAAGGCUGAACAGCUCCAAAGUCCAGUCAGCAAUACUCCAAGAGAAGAAUCAUCAAAACAAGUAGAUCUAUAAAAACCAUAUUAUAAUUAUAUGCAGCACUGAGAU
rnacentral:misc_RNA from 1 species